rnacentral:rRNA from 1 species
AAGUCGUACGAGAAAGCCCCUUCGGGGGUGAGUAAAGUGGCGCACGGGUGAGGAACACGUAAAUAACCUACCCUAUUGACCGGGACAACCCCGCGAAAGCGGAGCUAAUACCGGAUAAGCUCUAGAGAUCGUAAAGUUCACUAGAGGAAAGGCAGCCCUCUGAUCUAAGGUUGCGCUAUGGGAUGGAUUUGCGGCCCAUCAGCUUGUUGGUGAGGUAACGGCUCACCAAGGCUAUGACGGGUAGCUGGUCUGAGAGGACGAUCAGCCACACUGGGACUGAUACACGGCCCAGACUCCUACGGGAGGCAGCAGUGGGGAAUAUUGGACAAUGGGGGAAACCCUGAUCCAGCAAUACCGCGUGAAGGAAGAAGGUUUUCGGAUCGUAAACUUCUGUCAUAGGGGAAGAACGUUGUUGUUAAAAUAUAACUUCAACUUGACGGUACCCUAAGAGGAAGCACCGGCUAACUCCGUGCCAGCAGCCGCGGUAAUACGGAGGGUGCAAGCGUUGUUCGGAAUUACUGGGCGUAAAGCGUGUCUAGGCGGGAUCGUAAGUCAUGUGUGAAAGACCUUGGCUCAACCAAGGAAUUGCGCCUGAAACUGCGAUUCUUGAGUAGU